AGGGAAUCUUCGGCAAUGGACGAAAGUCUGACCGAGCAACGCCGCGUGAGUGAUGAAGGUUUUCGGAUCGUAAAACUCUGUUGUUAGAGAAGAAUAAGGGUGAGAGUAACUGUUCACCCCUUGACGGUAUCUAACCAGAAAGCCACGGCUAACUACGUGCCAGCAGCCGCGGUAAUACGUAGGUGGCAAGCGUUAUCCGGAUUUAUUGGGCGUAAAGCGAGCGCAGGCGGUUUUUUAAGUCUGAUGUGAAAGCCCUCGGCUUAACCGAGGAAGCGCAUCGGAAACUGGGAAACUUGAGUGCAGAAGAGGACAGUGGAACUCCAUGUGUAGCGGUGAAAUGCGUAGAUAUAUGGAGGAACACCAGUGGCGAAGGCGGCUCUCUGGUCUGUAACUGACGCUGAGGCUCGAAAGCGUGGGGAGCAAAC
rnacentral:rRNA from 1 species